AAUUAUGAUUGGCGCGUGCUAUACAUGCAAGUCGAGCGGACAGAUGGGAGCUUGCUCCCUGAUGUUAGCGGCGGACGGGUGAGUAACACGUGGGUAACCUGCCUGUAAGACUGGGAUAACUCCGGGAAACCGGGGCUAAUACCGGAUGGUUGUUUGAACCGCAUGGUUCAAACAUAAAAGGUGGCUUCGGCUACCACUUACAGAUGGACCCGCGGCGCAUUAGCUAGUUGGUGAGGUAACGGCUCACCAAGGCAACGAUGCGUAGCCGACCUGAGAGGGUGAUCGGCCACACUGGGACUGAGACACGGCCCAGACUCCUACGGGAGGCAGCAGUAGGGAAUCUUCCGCAAUGGACGAAAGUCUGACGGAGCAACGCCGCGUGAGUGAUGAAGGUUUUCGGAUCGUAAAGCUCUGUUGUUAGGGAAGAACAAGUACCGUUCGAAUAGGGCGGUACCUUGACGGUACCUAACCAGAAAGCCACGGCUAACUACGUGCCAGCAGCCGCGGUAAUACGUAGGUGGCAAGCGUUGUCCGGAAUUAUUGGGCGUAAAGGGCUCGCAGGCGGUUUCUUAAGUCUGAUGUGAAAGCCCCCGGCUCAACCGGGGAGGGUCAUUGGAAACUGGGGAACUUGAGUGCAGAAGAGGAGAGUGGAAUUCCACGUGUAGCGGUGAAAUGCGUAGAGAUGUGGAGGAACACCAGUGGCGAAGGCGACUCUCUGGUCUGUAACUGACGCUGAGGAGCGAAAGCGUGGGGAGCGAACAGGAUUAGAUACCCUGGUAGUCCACGCCGUAAACGAUGAGUGCUAAGUGUUAGGGGGUUUCCGCCCCUUAGUGCUGCAGCUAACGCAUUAAGCACUCCGCCUGGGGAGUACGGUC
rnacentral:rRNA from 2 species